AGCGAACGCUGGCGGCAGGCCUAACACAUGCAAGUCGAACGAACCUUUCGGGGUUAGUGGCGGACGGGUGAGUAACACGUGGGAACGUGCCUUUAGGUUCGGAAUAACUCAGGGAAACUUGUGCUAAUACCGAAUGUGCCCUUCGGGGGAAAGAUUUAUCGCCUUUAGAGCGGCCCGCGUCUGAUUAGCUAGUUGGUUGAGGUAAUGGCUCACCAAGGCGACGAUCAGUAGCUGGUCUGAGAGGAUGAUCAGCCACAUUGGGACUGAGACACGGCCCAAACUCCUACGGGGGGCAGCAGUGGGGAAUCUUGCGCAAUGGGCGAAAGCCUGACGCAGCCAUGCCGCGUGAAUGAUGAGGUCUUAGGAUUGUAAAAUUCUUUCACCGGGGACGAUAAUGACGGUACCCGGAGAAGAAGCCCCGGCUAACUUCGUG
rnacentral:rRNA from 1 species